rnacentral:rRNA from 1 species
UACGUAGGGCGCAAGCGUUAUCCGGAAUUAUUGGGCGUAAAGAGCUCGUAGGCGGUUUGUCGCGUCUGCCGUGAAAGUCCGGGGCUCAACUCCGGAUCUGCGGUGGGUACGGGCAGACUAGGAGUGGAUGUAGGGGAGACUGGAAUUCCUGGUGUAGCGGUGAAAUGCGCAGAUAUCAGGAGGAACACCGAUGGCGAAGGCAGGUCUCUGGGCAUUAACUGACGCUGAGGAGCGAAAGCAUGGGGAGCGAACAGG